GCCACUUUGUGUUUGGGGGGGAUUUUAUCACCAACAUAUUCCCACAUGGCAAACACGCAUCUCGCUGCAGAAGAGUCAGAGGAGAUGUGAGCUCGUCCAGAUUUCUGAUUCAACACCAACUGGGACUGAAUUCCAUGAAGACGUGCAGAGGGCACGAGGGAGGACACGCGCUUCCACACAGAUCAUCACCUUCAUCCUCGUCAUCAUCAUCAUCUUCCUCACCCGGCGUCAUACAGGGGAAACUAGUUCCUCAUUUUUAAAAAGCUGUUUCUCCUCAGGUCCCGCGUGUCUACGGUGGUUUUAAUCCCGCAGCGGCUCUGGCCGGCUCCUCACUGGCCC